rnacentral:rRNA from 1 species
GACGAACGCUGGCGGCGUGCUUAACACAUGCAAGUCGUACGGUAAGGCCCUUUCUGGGGUACACGAGUGGCGCACGGGUGAGUAACACGUGAGUAACCUUCCCACAACUUUGGGAUAACGCUAGGAAACUGGUGCUAAUACUGGAUAUGUGCUUCUGCUGCAUGGUGGGGGUUGGAAAGCUCCGGCGGUUGUGGAUGGACUCGCGGCCUAUCAGCUUGUUGGUGGGGUAGUGGCCUACCAAGGCGGCGACGGGUAGCCGGCCUGAGAGGGUGACCGGCCACAUUGGGACUGAGAUACGGCCCAGACUCCUACGGGAGGCAGCAGUGGGGAAUAUUGCACAAUGGGCGCAAGCCGGAUGCAGCAACGCCGCGGGCGGGAUGACGGCCUUCGGGUUGUAAACCGCUUUCAGCAGGGACGAAGCUUUUUGUGACGGUACCUGCAGAAGAAGCACCGGCUAACUACGUG